rnacentral:rRNA from 1 species
AGCGGGGCCCAUCCCGUAAGGCUAAAUACUCCCGAGAGACCGAUAGCGAACCAGUACUGUGAAGGAAAGGUGAAAAGAACCUCGAACAGAGGAGUGAAAGAGACCCUGAAACCAUGCGCCUACAAGCGGUCGGAGCAUGUUAAAAUGUGACGGCGUGCCUUUUGCAUAAUGAACCUACGAGUUACUCUCGCUGGCAAGGUUAAGCGAUUCAGUCGCGCAGCCGAAGCGAAAGCAAGUCCGAAUAAGGCGUACAGUCAGCGGGAGUAGACGCGAAACCAAGUGAUCUACCCUUGGUCAGGUUGAAGGUUGGGUAACACCAACUGGAGGACCGCACCGAUAAGCGUUGAAAAGCUUACGGAUGAACUGAGGGUAGGAGUGAAAGGCCAAUCAAACUUGGAGAUAGCUCGUACUCCCCGAAAUGCAUUUAGGUGCAGCCUCGAAGUAAAGUGAUAGAGGUAGAGCGACUGAUAAGAUGCGAGGGCUUCACCGCCUAUCAAGUCUUGACAAACUCCGAAUACUAUCACUUGAUCUUUGGGAGUGAGGGCAUGGGUGCUAAGGUCCAUGUCCGAAAGAGGAACAACUCAGACCACCAGCUAAGGUCCCGAAAUAAGGGCUAAGUUGAAUAAACGAAGUAAAACUGCAAAGACAGCUAGGAUGUUGGCUUGGAAGCAGCCAUUCAUUUAAAGAGUGCGUAACAGCUCACUAGUCGAGGAGUUUUGCAUGGAUAAUAAUCGGGCAUAAGCCCUUUACCGAAGCUGUGGAUGUCGUAAGACAUGGUAGGGGAGCAUUCCGGCGGCGACGAAGGCCGUCCUCGAGGACGACUGGAGCUUUCGGAAAAGCAAAUGUAGGUAUAAGUAACGAUAAAGGGGGCGUGAAACCCCCUCGCCAUAAGACUAAGGAUUCCUGAUCAACGCUAAUCGGAUCAGGGUAAGUCGGGCCCUAAGGCGCAGCCGAACGGCGUAGCCGAUGGAAGAAACGGUAAAGAUUCCGUUACUGGAUAUAGGAGCGAUGUGGAGACGGAGAAGUGACACACCCGCCUGCCGACGGAAGCGCAGGUUAAAGGAAGUAGGUAAACGCCGGGUAGGCAAAUCCGCCUGGCGUGCCGAAGCUGACAGUAUCGAGAGCCCCCGGGCAAUCGAAUAGCGGUGGUAAUCAGGCUCCCAAGAAAAUCCGCUAAGCAUAUUCUAUAUUCACCCGUACCCCAAACGGACACACGUAGUCGGGUAGAAUAUACCAAGGCGCUCGAAAGACUCACGGUUAAGGAACUAGGCAAAUUGACCCUGUAACCUCGGGAAAAAGGGUCCCCAGUAAGAUGGGGCGCAGAGAAUAGGUCCAGGCAACUGUUUAACAAAAACACAGGGCUGUGCGAAAUUUCAAGAUGAAGUAUACAGCCUGACACCUGCCCGGUGCCGGAAGGUUAAGAGGAGAGCUAAUCGCAAGAGAAGGCUUGAAUUGAAGCCCCGGUAAACGGCGGCCGUAACUAUAACGGUCCUAAGGUAGCGAAAUUCCUUGUCGGGUAAGUUC